ACCUUCGUGGUGUAGUGGUCAGCGCGCUGUAUUCCAGAGGUCCGUGGUUCGAGUCCCGGCAAAGGCG
rnacentral:tRNA from 1 species